rnacentral:misc_RNA from 1 species
GAGCCAUAUACUCAUAUAUUAAUACCCGGUGUUCAGCUUCACAGCAGUAUCCAAUCAAUUUCACCAAAUUUGGAUGAGAAAGUUGCCCGAGAAAUAUGACUUCUGCCAGCCAUUCUCUGUGGCCUUGAUAACUAUUAUCACCAUCAUGGACCUUUACAGCAACUGGAAGGGGCUGAAGUCCCUCCCUUAGAUCCCCAGUAAUAAAUCCUUUAUAAACACUACCAAAUCCUCCUCCACCCAAC